rnacentral:lncRNA from 1 species
GUACUUAGAGCUCCUUGUUAGGACAUAGAAAUUAAAGGUAUCAUUUUUGAUUUUUCCUUCUCACCUUUUCUCAGAUCUUCUACACCAAAGGGGUGAAGUCACACACAUGGAGAAAGAGAGAGGAGGCAACAAAUGUCUCAUAAACACGGCAAAGGAACUAUGUGUCUCAUCCAUUUCAAUGUCUCCAAAAUCAACAGUCAUAUUGUACACCUGAAACUAAUCUAACAGUGUAUAUUAAUUACACUUGAAUAAAAUAUAUGUAUAUAUUUAAAAAACCA